rnacentral:rRNA from 1 species
GCUUGUCUCAAAGAUUAAGCCAUGCAUGUCUAAGUCCAAGCUGUGUUCACACGGCGAGACCGCGGACGGCUCAUUAAAUCAGUCGUGGUCCAAAUGGGCCAGUGCAAAUCCUACUUGGAUAACUGUGGUAAUUCCAGAGCUAAUACAUGCAACUGAUAUCCCGAAGGCGGUGUUGGGGCUUGCUUGCCUUGCGCUGCGCUGCUCUGACGGAUGCUUUUAUUAGACCAAGCCGCUGAGGACUUGAGGGUUCGCGCUCUCUUGUUUGACUCGUGUGAUGGUGACUCUGGAUAACCAAAUUCUGACAAGCGCACGUACUUCUCUUCUGAGCGAGACGGCGCUGCCACUUUCGAGUGUCUGCCUUAUCAGCUAUCAACCGUUCGUUAUGCGCGACCGAUGGCUUUGACGGGUAACGGGGAAUCAGGGUUCGAUUCCGGAGAGGCAGCCUGAGAGACGGCUACCACGUCCAAGGACGGCAGCAGGCACGCAAAUUACCCAAUCCCAGCAAAUGGGGGAGGUAGUGACGAAAUCUAACGAUGCGGGCGCCCUUUCUGGGGCCCCGCAAUCGGAAUGGGCACUUUCUAAACAACCUGUUGAGAACCUA